rnacentral:rRNA from 1 species
CCUACGGGUGGCAGCAGUGGGGAAUAUUGCACAAUGGGCGCAAGCCUGAUGCAGCCAUGCCGCGUGUGUGAAGAAGGCCUUCGGGUUGUAAAGCACUUUCAGCGGGGAGGAAGGCGUUAAGGUUAAUAACCUUGGCGAUUGACGUUACCCGCAGAAGAAGCACCGGCUAACUCCGUGCCAGCAGCCGCGGUAAUACGGAGGGUGCAAGCGUUAAUCGGAAUUACUGGGCGUAAAGCGCACGCAGGCGGUCUGUCAAGUCGGAUGUGAAAUCCCCGGGCUCAACCUGGGAACUGCAUUCGAAACUGGCAGGCUAGAGUCAUGUAGAGGGGGGUAGAAUUCCAGGUGUAGCGGUGAAAUGCGUAGAGAUCUGGAGGAAUACCGGUGGCGAAGGCGGCCCCCUGGACAAAGACUGACGCUCAGGUGCGAAAGCGUGGGGAGCAAACAGGAUUAGAUACCCCGGUAGUC